CUGAGAGGAUAACGAUGGUUUAGUUUACCUGCCUUGGACGCAGGAGGUUGCAGGUUCGAAUCCUGUCUCUCAGA
rnacentral:tRNA from 1 species